UGCAGGUUCUCCCCUGGAACUACCUGUGUGGGGCACUGCCCUCUCACCUCCUGCAGUCCCAAGUGAGGUGAGCCAGGGUCCAAAUACAGACUGGGCCUUGCUUUGAGUGAUGAAGCCUCUGCAGAGCGCAAAUGUUUCCGAGACACAAGGCUAAGGAUCCCUGGACACUGUGACACCUCUCCCAGUCUGCAGUCCCAUGUAUUUGGCCAACAUGGGCAGGCUGACCAGAAAGCCAGCAGGACAGGAGCAUCACAGGGAUGCACAGGAACCAGAACAUCAUGGGGUGGUCUGAAAUGUCAUCUUCAUCUGCUAAAACAAACCUGGUUAAACACAGUGAGGCCUCUGCAGAAAGAAAAAACCAGAAAAAUGUCCUGUAUUCUGCAGAGAUGAUUAAAUUGCAUGUCCUGUAA